GAAUUUAUUUUUUACAGUUAUGGAGGCUGUGAAGUGCAAGGUCAAGAGGCUGCAUCUGGUGAAGACCUUCUUGCUGGUAGGGUCUCUCUACCUGGUCCUGAGGCAGUCCAGGGCAUCACAUGGCUGGUGAGCCCCAGAGCGGAGGACCCUGCCGAGCUGUUUCCAGACUCCUGAUCCACAGAAACCGUGAGAGGAUAACAUUGUUCUGCUUGAAGCCACUACACCUGCCGUCACUUGUCUCGCAUCAUUAGGGAACCAACGUGCUCUGGAAGACAGCAACUCUCAGGGUCCAUUCCGCUGACACCAGCGCCUCAGAUGACACAGGACGUGGCAUGGUGGCUAUUGACUCAUCAAGGGAACAGCAAUGGCCACUCUGCACCUUGCAUUCCUAUCCUUUUUUGGGCUUCAGAUCAGAAAUCGCAACUUUUGCGUGGAGAUCCUGGGC
rnacentral:lncRNA from 10 species